UGGGAAUUUUUAGGGAAAGUUUCUUCAAGAUGGCUGGUGAUUGGGAAGGGCUAAUUACUAAUUGUGUACACCUGCAAAGGAGUGCUUUUGGCAGUGAUGGAAAGGGACAAUGAACAGGGAAGAUGAAAUGCUCUUAAGCAGAGGGGAAGAAAAGAUGCAAGAAGAAAACAAAAAAGAAAAUAACUCCAAGGAAAAGAGAGAGAAGCUCGGAGGGAAGUUGGCUCCAGAGGAAAGAGAGGUCCUCGAGAAUGAAAUUCUGGUGGCACAGUCCUGAUUGAUUCUGAUGAGGAAGACAAAGUGUAGAUUUUCAAAGAGACCAAUGUGGCUAUAUGGGGAACUCAUUACUGGAAGCAAAAGCAGCUCAUUUUGAAGAUGAGGAAACAGAGGCAAACAGGAUUGAAUGACUUUCCCAGAAUCACACAGCUCAUUGGGCAGAUUGUCUCCUAUAUAAUAACUUCUUUGUGCUUCCAUGGAGCCCUGAAUGUCAAACUGAUGGAAUUCCAGACCAAUCUGGUGUCCUACCCGCACAUCUACUUUCCCCUGGCUACCUAUGCCCUCAUAACAUCAGCCUAA
rnacentral:lncRNA from 1 species